AGAGUUUGAUCCUGGCUCAGAUUGAAUGCUGGCGGCAUGCUUAACACAUGCAAGUCGAACGGCAGCACGGUCCGUAGCAAUACGGAUGGGUGGCGAGUGGCGGACGGGUGAGUAAUACGUAGGAACUUGCCUUGGAGAGUGGGAUAACCCGGGGAAACUCGGGCUAAUACCGCAUGAUAUCGAGAGAUCAAAAGCAGGGGACCGCAAGGCCUUGCGCUCUGAGAGAGGCUUACGUCGGAUUAGCUAGUUGGUAGGGUAAAGGCCUACCAAGGCUGAGAUCCGUAGCUGGUCUGAGAGGACGAUCAGCCACACUGGGACUGAGACACGGCCCAGACUCCUACGGGAGGCAGCAGUGGGGAAUUUUGGACAAUGGGGGCAACCCUGAUCCAGCAAUGCCGCGUGUGUGAAGAAGGCCUGAGGGUUGUAAAGCACUUUAGGUGGGGAGGAAAGCCAAUAAGCGAAUAACUUAUUGGGGUGACGUUACCCGCAGAAUAAGCACCGGCUAACUCUGUGCCAGCAGCCGCGGUAAUAC
rnacentral:rRNA from 1 species